UUAGGCAGGCUGCAGUGGAGGAGGGUACGCCGUUCCAUUGGCGUGGUACUGUCGGCGGCCCUUCAGAGGAGAUGCUGCCCCACGGAACGCCUGGCAAGUGCUGGCGAAGCGGCAUGGGCGUCCCACUCCGUUCCUCAACCAAUUUCCUCACAAUCGCGAGCCGAAGUGUGGCGCUUUGGCAGUUUCGCAAGGUCUUUUGUCAGGAGAUGAGUUACUGAGGAUUGGGGGUCUUUGGAGCUCUUGGACCUGAAGAACGAUUAAGUUUUUCUCCCUUCAGAGAGCCAAGAGAUGGGGUCUUGCUGUGUUGCCCAGGGUGGAGUGCAGUGGCUAUUCACAGGUGUGAUCAUAGCUACUAUAGCCUCAAACCCUGGGUUCAAGUGAGUCCUUUGAACUAGAACAUUGGCCUUUUCUGGUUCUGCAGAAGCUUCCAGCCUUCAGAUUUGAACUGGGACACUGGCUCUGCAGAUUUUGGACUUGCCAGCCUUCAUAAUUGUAACCUACACUCCUGUCAUUUGUGGAAUGAUUGCUGGAGCCAGAGGCCAGGAAGAAGUUCAUGAGCCUGAGAGAAAAAGCAAGGAUUUCCAGUUCUACCCUGUGAGGAAAACAAGGCUUGGAGUGGGUAAGUUGCCAAGUUUGUAUGGCAGAGCCCAGCCCUGACUCCAGGGGAUGCUGUUCUCACCCCAUCUCGUGGCCACCAUCCCUGGACUUUCCCUGCAGGUGGGUCCUGUAGCUGUGUGUGCCCAGCCUGC
rnacentral:lncRNA from 1 species